rnacentral:tRNA from 1 species
GGGCCGGUAGUUCAGUCUGGUAUACUUUUAAAGGCCAAGGAACGUCCGGUUUGCAGCCGGAAAGUCGCGGGUUCAAAUCCCGCCCGGUCCACCA